UAAAAUAAAUAGUUAAUAAAAUAUUUCAUUUUUCCUUUUGCAAUAUUUAGGGAAAAAAGUGGAGUGUCAACUGUCAUUAUAGAAAUAGUAUUAGAAGAAGGGUUAGUGAAACUAAAGGGGAAUUGGGUAAUGUAGAGGAAGAGAAGAAAGUGGAAGAAGUGAAAAGGGCUUAUCCAAUUCAUGAAAUUGAGCCAAAAUGGCAAAAGUUUUGGAAUGAUAAUAAAACUUUUAGGACCCCCAUUUUCUAGAUUAUCUUCCGUGCAAUAGAAUCAGUGGAGCAGGGUUGCAUGUUGGUCAUCCAUUAGGAUAUACGGUUACUGAUAUUCUGGCAAGAUUUAGAAGGAUGCAGGGUUUCAGUGUUCUGCACCCGAUGGGAUGGGAUGCAUUUGGGUUGCCAGCUGAACAUUACGCUAUUGAUAUAGGUACCCACCCUAAAGUUACAAAAAUGCGGAACGAUGUGGACACAAUGGAUAUUUCUUCAGCUUCUGAAAAGAGGAUUGGGGUAUCAGGCUGAAGUUCCUGCCAAUUGGUGUCCUGCUCUUGUCCUAUAUUAAAAGAACGAAUUUUCAUUGAUUGAUUUGUAUGAACUUUUACUUGCAGCUACUUAGUAUUGGCACCUGCGCAUCCCUUGUUGGAAUCACUAGUAUCCACUGAUCAAGCAAAAUAUGUUGAGGAGUAUAGAGAGCUUGCCUCAAGGAAGAGCGAUCUCGAGAGGACUGAGCUUUAGAAAGAGAACAUUGGGUUUUUACUGGUUGCUAUGCUAAAAACCCGGCUAAUGGAGAGCCUAUUCCCAUAUGGGCGGCAGAUUAUGUUCUAGGAAGGUUACUGAGGAAAUUGAAGCAACUCUGUUUAAUAUUGGUAUCUUGGCAAUGAUGGAUUUCAUAAAUGUUGUGUAUAAGUGAGACCGAUAUCCAAGAAACAGUCUUCGAGGCUUUUGUUUUACGGCUAUCACCAUAUACACCAAAUAUUUUCAAGGAGCUUUGGUUUCGCCUGGGUUACUCGAACUCACUUGCAUACGAGCCUUACCCAAAGUCAAUGGAAACUGGAGGAGCUAUUCAAGUAGAGGAAGCAUGUACCGAAGAAGAAGCUUUCAGAUUAGCUUCCACAGACAGAAAACCGUCCAAAUACUUGGUCGGAAAAACCAUUAAAAAGAUGAUUGUCGUCCCAGGUAAGAUAUUGAAUGUGAUCGUGGUUCCUGAAAACAUCAAGGUGGGUCAGCGAUGAUUGAAUCCCUUUCCCGAAUCAUAUAUGCAUUCAACGAAUGUUCUUUCUCAGUCGAAGCUGAUGAAUACGUUCCAAACUCUCGUUUAUCAUUGGAACCCAGCAUGGAACAUAUAGAUUUAGUAAGCAUCUUCACAUCUUCGACUAAUUCUUUUUAAUGAAUAGAAUUCAUGCAUUUUGAUGUGUUAUUAUUGACAGUAGUAUAUAGAUCAUUUGUCUUGUAUAUCCGUAAACUAUUUAUUACUUCUUUUUGAGUUUACACCAUAUAACUUAAUAAACUCUCACGCUUUCUCAUAUGGAAUAGAGAGUGGUAGUUGAUAGUUUAUUUUCUUUGGAAACCAUAGAAAUAUAGCCACAAUUUCUGCAACUGCAAAAAUAAAGCAUGUGACUAUGAAUUGAUUUGUGGUCAUGGAGCUGUAAAAAUGAAUCUACUUUCCCAUGUUAUGGAAACAAUGUGUAUCUUGGUGACUACUUAUUAUUUUAAGUUUAAAGGGUCUGUCUUAUGACUGUUGGCCACCUGAAAAUAUUAAUUGAUGUUUUUAGCUUUUAUGUUACUAGUUUAACCCAGUAAUGGAAAUGUUUGGUAAAAGGUACAACAAGUUUUGUACAAAAUCAUUUUACUAUGAGACUGACUCAUAAAAAUAACUAAUUUUUUUUAUUGGUCUUUUUAAGAUUGUAAGUAAUCCUUUAAGACUAUAUAUUAAGGUAAUCAUUGGUCACUAUAAGAUUGUAAGUGAUUACUUUAAAGUUAUAAGUGAUCAUUUUGAGAUUGUAAAUAUACAUUAGACUGAUUUAAUAGAAUGGUUUUACUGUGAGACCGUUUUAUCUAAGAAUUUGUCAAGUAGUUAUUGACUGUUUAUUUAAGAAAAAAUGAAUCAAAAAGACAAAAGCCAAUAUAAAAACUACUGGUAAUAGUUUUUUGGUUUUGGCCUAUAAGUUAGCUUUGCAAUUUCUUUAAAGUCAUUUAUCGAAUACAUUUUAACAGUAUGACCAACUAAAAUGCAAAAAAUGAAAAGGCAAUAAAAAAAGCCAUCUACUAAUCACAUCCAAAGCAUUUACACAUUUUCAACUGUCUUAAGGUAAAAAAUAAUAUAUACUUUUAUAUAAUAAUUUAAUCUUUGAUAUUCUUUUUAUUUAUAUGGAGUUUUAAAUUGAUAUUUUUCUUUUUAUUUAUAUGAAGUUGGGAUAUGAUUAGUCUUUUGUGUCCAAUAAAUUUGGAAUUAUUAGAAUUUUGGACUGAUGACACAAAUCAUUCAUUUUAGGUUUGUUUGAGUAGGAGAAAAUCAGUUAAA